ACCGUAUAGGGGAGCCGAAGGGAAACCGAGUCUUAACUGGGCGUUAAGUUGCAGGGUAUAGACCCGAAACCCGGUGAUCUAGCCAUGGGCAGGUUGAAGGUUGGGUAACACUAACUGGAGGACCGAACCGACUAAUGUUGAAAAAUUAGCGGAUGACCUGUGGCUGGGGGUGAAAGGCCAAUCAAACCGGGAGAUAGCUGGUUCUCCCCGAAAGCUAUUUAGGUAGCGCCUCGUGAACUCAUCUUCGGGGGUAGAGCACUGUUUCGGCUAGGGGGCCAUCCCGGCUUACCAACCCGAUGCAAACUACGAAUACCGAAGAAUGUUAUCACGGGAGACACACGGCGGGUGCUAACGUCCGUCGUGAAGAGGGAAACAACCCAGACCGCCAGCUAAGGUCCCAAAGUCAUGGUUAAGUGGGAAACGAUGUGGGAAGGCACAGACAGCCAGGAUGUUGGCUUAGAAGCAGCCAUCAUUUAAAGAAAGCGUAAUAGCUCACUGGUCGAGUCGGCCUGCGCGGAAGAUGUAACGGGGCUAAACCAUGCACCGAAGCUGCGGCAGCGACGCGUAUGCGUUGUUGGGUAGGGGAGCGUUCUGUAAGCCGUCGAAGGUGUGCUGUGAGGCAUGCUGGAGGUAUCAGAAGUGCGAAUGCUGACAUAAGUAACGAUAAAGCGGGUGAAAAGCCCGCUCGCCGGAAGACCAAGGGUUCCUGUCCAACGUUAAUCGGGGCAGGGUGAGUCGACCCCUAAGGCGAGGCCGAAAGGCGUAGUCGAUGGGAAACAGGUUAAUAUUCCUGUACUUGGUGUUACUGCGAAGGGGGGACGGAGAAGGCUAUGUCAGCCGGGCGACGGUUGUCCCGGUUUAAGCGUGUAGGUGUGUGUUCCAGGCAAAUCCGGUUCACUUUAACACUGAGGCGUGAUGACGAGGCACUACGGUGCUGAAGUGAUAAAUGCCCUGCUUCCAGGAAAAGCCUCUAAGCAUCAGGUAACACGAAAUCGUACCCCAAACCGACACAGGUGGUCAGGUAGAGAAUACCAAGGCGCUUGAGAGAACUCGGGUGAAGGAACUAGGCAAAAUGGUGCCGUAACUUCGGGAGAAGG
rnacentral:rRNA from 1 species